rnacentral:rRNA from 1 species
UACGUAGGGGGCAAGCGUUGUCCGGAAUCAUUGGGCGUAAAGCGCGUGUAGGCGGGUUGCCAAGUCCGCUGUGAAAGCCCGAGGCUCAACCUCGGAGGGUCGGUGGAUACUGGCAGUCUUGAAGGUGCUAGGGGGAGAUGGAAUUACCGGUGUAGCGGUGAAAUGCGUAGAGAUCGGUAGGAACACCAGUGGCGAAGGCGGUCUCCUGGGGCAUUCUUGACGCUGAGACGCGAAAGCUGGG